rnacentral:rRNA from 1 species
AUACAAGUGAGAAUGCCGGUAUGAGUAACGAAAAGAUCAGUGAGAAUCUGAUCCGCCGAAAACCUAAGGGUUCCUGAGGAAGGCUCGUCCGCUCAGGGUAAGUCGGGACCUAAGGCGAGGCCGAUAGGCGUAGUCGAAGGACAACAGGUCGAAAUUCCUGUACCACCGUAAAUCGUUACGAGCGAUGGGGUGACGCAGUAGGGUAGUGACGCAGACUGAUGGAUGUCUGUCCAAGCAGUGAGGCUGGUAUGUAGGCAAAUCCGCAUACUAUUAAGGCUGGGCUGUGAUGGGGAGUGAAAAUUACAGUAGCGAAGGUCAUGAUCUCACACUGCCAAGAAAAGCCUCUAGCCAGAUGAAGGUGCCCGUACCGUAAACCGACACAGGUAGGUGAGAAGAGAAUUCUAAGGCGCGCGGAAGAACUCUCGUUAAGGAACUCGGCAAAAUGACCCCGUAACUUCGGGAGAAGGGGUGCCCCGGUAGUGUGAAUAGCACGAGGGGGCCGCAGUGAAAAGGCCCAAGCGACUGUUUAGCAAAAACACAGGUCUGUGCGAAGCCGCAAGGCGAAGUAUACGGGCUGACGCCUGCCCGGUGCUGGAAGGUUAAGGGGAGCGGUUAGGAGCAAUCCGAAGCUGUGAACCGAAGCCCCAGUAAACGGCGGCCGUAACUAUAACGGUCCUAAGGUAGCGAAAUUCCUUGUCAGGUAAAUUCUGACCCGCACGAAUGGCGUAACGACUUGGGCGCUGUCUCAACGAGAGAUCCGGUGAAAUUUUAAUACCUGUGAAGAUGCAGGUUACCCGCGACAAGACGGAAAGACCCCAUGGAGCUUUACUGCAGCUUGAUAUUGGAUUUGGGUACGAUCUGUACAGGAUAGGUGGGAGCCUAGGAAACAGGAGCGCCAGCUUCUGUGGAGGCAACGUUGGGAUACCACCCUGAUCGUAUCUAGGUUCUAACUUGGUACCGUAAUCCGGUGCGAGGACAGUGUCAGGUGGGCAGUUUGACUGGGGCGGUCGCCUCCUAAAGAGUAACGGAGGCGCCCAAAGGUUCCCUCAGAAUGGUUGGAAAUCAUUCGCAGAGUGUAAAGGCACAAGGGAGCUUGACUGCGAGACCUACAAGUCGAGCAGGGACGAAAGUCGGGCUUAGUGAUCCGGUGGUACCGCAUGGAAGGGCCAUCGCUCAACGGAUAAAAGCUACCCUGGGGAUAACAGGCUUAUCUCCCCCAAGAGUCCACAUCGACGGGGAGGUUUGGCACCUCGAUGUCGGCUCAUCGCAUCCUGGGGCUGAAGUAGGUCCCAAGGGUUGGGCUGUUCGCCCAUUAAAGCGGUACGCGAGCUGGGUUCAGAACGUCGUGAGACAGUUCGGUCCCUAUCUGUCGUGGGCGUAGGAAAUUUGAGAGGAGCUGUCCUUAGUACGAGAGGACCGGGAUGGACGUACCGCUGGUGUACCAGUUGUUCCGCCAGGAGCACCGCUGGGUAGCUAUGUACGGACGGGAUAAGCGCUGAAAGCAUCUAAGCGUGAAGCCCCCCUCAAGAUGAGAUUUCCCAA